UUUGUCUCUUCAUCUCUGAUCACAUGAAUUAAGCCUCACUGUGAUUCAAUUCUUCUAAGUUGUUUGUUCUUGUUUCGGUCCUUUCGGCCGGCCCAUAUAUCAGAUUGAACGGAUUUAUUGACUCAGCAUUCACAUUCAUGAAGGGCUGGUAAGAAAUAAUAUUACAUCGUCUUAUUUAUCCAUACAAGCCUGACUUAAAUCGUAUAUAUGACCAAGUGUAAAAAAUUUAAUGAUUAGCGAGAAUUUUUUUUGGUUGCUAGGUAAAAAAUGUAGUGCUUUUCUGACGAUGCAAUUUAACUAAUAUUCAUGUUUCAUCUUUUGCUUAUGUUAACGUAUGAAUAUGGGAUGAUCAUCAUCUGAUGGGUUAUGCAAGUUAAAACCUGAUUGUGUGUAUGCUUUUUAAGAUUUGAACAUUAAGCACUCUUUUUGAUGUGUGCAUUGUUGUGUUUACUUAUCUCUAUUUGGGUGAUUGCUUUGUGGGUGUUUAUGGCAUGCUGUUAAUGAUGCCUGGAUCCUAAAUUUCGCAUGUCUCUUGCAAAAGUUUCAGAAAAUUGCAGGAACUAUUAGUAGCUUAUAAUUCUAGUCUCCCUACUUCAACUGUGGUAAAAUUGGUAUGUGGUUUUUGAACGUUUGUACCUAAAAUUGACUUUGGUUAGACUUGAUUUUUUAGUGAAGUGAUUUAUGUUUGUUGGAUGUUUUUAUCCUGAAACCCAGUUUACUAUAAAACUUGGCUAGUUUUUCAAUCCAGUUGAAAAGCUACUAUUUGUCAUUCUAGUCAAAUCUAGCUUUGCAGCAAAACCAGUUUUACUUAGCAAUAAUCAAAGAACCAUAAUUUUAUAAAAUCAAGUCUGCUGUGAAAAUCAAUUCUUAUUAUUCCCAUGCUGUAAGAGCAAACACAAUUUUAGUAUAUCAUGCAGAUAUAGUUGAAUGUGUGGAGCCUUAUGUGAAUGCCAGUUUGAUGAUUCGGUGUUGGGAGUUUAUCUCAGUUUCAAUUAUUUUGUUCAAAAUAUCAUGCAGAUGGAAUUGGAUGUGCUGAGCCUUUUAUGAAGGAGAGUUUGAUGAUGCGGUUGAGAAGUUAUCUUGAUCUGAAUUAUUUUGUUUGCAUGCUACAUGUUCAAUAAAUGCUAGAUUUCUAGAAAACAUGAUGAUAGGCCCAUAUCAUAUAAAAUUCUGAUUCUAGCUUCACUUAUUAAUGGAACCUUAUCUGUUUUGUAUAUCAAGCUUUCAUUACUACUUUAUUAUGGAUGGAAACAGAUGAAGCUUAUUAAUACCUUCUGUUAUAUUGACCUGUCGAUUGACAUUGUCAAAUUGCUUUUGCCCUGUGACAAGUCAAUCUGGCCCGUUAUUCAAUCACUUUAUCAUCAGCCCCUGUUCUAAGUUAUUCUGAAGAUCUGUUUUCAGUUGAUUCGUCGUUAUUCGUGAAUUAAUAAUUGUCAACAA
rnacentral:lncRNA from 1 species